rnacentral:rRNA from 1 species
CACGGUCCAGACUCCUACGGGAGGCAGCAGUGGGGAAUAUUGCACAAUGGGCGCAAGCCUGAUGCAGCCAUGCCGCGUGUAUGAAGAAGGCCUUCGGGUUGUAAAGUACUUUCAGCGGGGAGGAAGGGAGUAAGGUUAAUAACCUUAUUCAUUGACGUUACCCGCAGAAGAAGCACCGGCUAACUCCGUGCCAGCAGCCGCGGUAAUACGGAGGGUGCAAGCGUUAAUCGGAAUUACUGGGCGUAAAGCGCACGCAGGCGGUCUGUCAAGUCGGAUG